CCUACGGGAGGCAGCAGUGAGGAAUAUUGGUCAAUGGCCGGAAGGCUGAACCAGCCAAGUCGCGUGAGGGACGACUGCCCUAUGGGUUGUAAAUCUCUUUUAUAAGGGAAGAAAAAAUGCUACGUGUAGCAUGAUGCCUGUACCUUAUGAAUAAGCAUCGGCUAACACCGUGCCAGCCGCCGCGGUAAAACGGAGGUUGAGAGCGUUAUCGGGGUUUAUUGGGGUAAAGGGGUGGGUAGUGGGUUAUUAAGGCUUGUGGUUAAACGUGGGGGCUUAACAUUGAUUUGCAAUUAAUACUGUAAGACUCGAGUUCAGACGAGGUAGGCGGAAUAAGUUAUGUAGCGGUAAAAUGCUUAGAUAUCAAUUAGAAUUCCGAUAGCGAAGGCAGCUUGCCAGACUGCGACUGACGCUGAAGCGCGAGAGCGUGGGUAGCGAACAGGAUUAGAUACCCCUGUAGUC
rnacentral:rRNA from 1 species